UACGAAUCGUCCAAACGUUGUUCGGAUUUACUGGGUUUAAAGGGCGCGUAGGCGGCUUUGCAAGUGACGGGUGAAAGCCCUCGGCUUAACCGAGGAACUGCCUGUCAGACUGUGAGGCUUGAAACCGGGAGAGGUGAGUGGAAUUCCCAGUGUAGCGGUGAAAUGCGUAGAUAUUGGGAGGAACACCAGUGGCGAAGGCGGCUCUCUGGGACGGUACUGACGCUGAGACGCGAAAGCGUGGGGAGCGAACAGG
rnacentral:rRNA from 1 species